CAGGACGAACGCUGGCGGCGUGCUUAACACAUGCAAGUCGAACGGAGAUACAUUGGAGGAGAGCUCGGCAGGAAUCCGGCGUAUCUUAGUGGCGGACGGGUGAGUAACGCGUGAGCAACCUGUCCCAGACAGGGGGAUAACACUUGGAAACAGGUGCUAAUACCGCAUAAGACCACGGUGUCACAUGGCGCUGAGGUAAAAGGAGAAAUCCGGUUUGGGGUGGGCUCGCGUCCGAUUAGAUAGUUGGUGAGGUAACGGCCCACCAAGUCGACGAUCGGUAGCCGACCUGAGAGGGUGAUCGGCCACAUUGGAACUGAGAGACGGUCCAAACUCCUACGGGAGGCAGCAGUGGGGAAUAUUGGGCAAUGGGCGAAAGCCCUGACCCAGCAACGCCGCGUGAGUGAAGAAGGCUUUCGGGUUGUAAAGCUCUGUUAUAGGGGACGAAGGAAGUGACGGUACCCUAUAAGGAAGCCCCGGCUAACUACGUGCCAGCAGCCGC
rnacentral:rRNA from 1 species